AGGAAGUAGCCGCAACCAGGCCUCGGGAGAGAGUCUGACGGUGGCAGAGCUCCCGGGAGUCCGGGCUGUUGUGACCCGAGGGCUGGAGUCAUCUACUUUUCCCCCUCAGACACUUAAGUUUCGGGUGAUACCUGUGCAGGGGAAGUGAAUCCCCUCUCACCAUGUCUGGCUGCUGGCGACCCAGAUGCCACGUGAUGGCCAUCUGAAGUGAGGACUGCCGGACAUCAGGUUGCAUGCAAUUCUGGCAUUCAUCUGAUUUGUUGAUACUGGACAUAGCAACAGCUCAAGUGACACUUUGGAGUUGAGCUAUCAAAGCAGCUCACAUCAGUCUGAAACUUUUCAGAAGGCUCAUCACAGAUGCUUAAUGUGCUAGAAAGCUCAGAGUCCACACAAGGAGAGAAGACGCCCGAGGACACACAGCCUCUGAUGACAACUGCAAGCACUCAUGGUGCCACAAGAGUGUGUUACGUCACCUGACCGGCCCCACCGUGGAGGCCAUGUGCUGUACGUAUGUUUUUUGCUGCUGCGUUGUCCUUUGGGUCUGAGAGAAAUGAGACAGAGGGCAGAGCUUAUACCUUGAAGACAGGAUGCAGUCCCGGGAGGCACCUCAUGGUGGCGACAGCGAUGACCUCAGCCACCAGAUGAGUGUUCAGCAAGUGAUACUGGAGCUCAUGCAGCUGGAAAUCUGAAUUUCGGACCCAGGACUUGGCCAGGA